rnacentral:rRNA from 1 species
GACGAACGCUGGCGGCGUGCUUAACACAUGCAAGUCGAACGGAAAGGCCCUGCUUGCAGGGUACUCGAGUGGCGAACGGGUGAGUAACACGUGGGUGAUAUGCCCUGCACUUCGGGAUAAGCCUGGGAAACUGGGUCUAAUACCGGAGAGGAGCCAUCUUUAGUGUGAUGGUUGGAAAGUAUUUUCGGUGUAGGAUGAGCUCGCGGCCUAUCAGCUUGUUGGUGGGGUAAUGGCCUACCAAGGCGGCGACGGGUAGCCGGCCUGGGAGGGUGGACGGCCACAUUGGGACUGGGAUACGGCCCAGACUCCUACGGGGGGCAGCAGUGGGGAAUAUUGCACAAUGGGCGCGAGCCUGAUGCAGCGACGCCGCGUGGGGGAAGACGGCCUUCGGGUUGUAAACUCCUUUCGCUAGGGACGAAGCUUUUUGUGACGGUACCUAGAAAAGAAGCACCGGCUAACUACGUG